ensembl:lncRNA
UAUUGAUUCAAAGACAUGUGGCUACUAAAGCUGGAGGCCAAGGACUGGCCAGUCCUUGAGCAAGAAGCCAGGCUCACUGGGAGGAGAGAAGGAGGCCCUUCCACUCAGAGGGCUGACCUUGAGCCAGGCAACGUGCCUGGGCUGCCCUGCCAACAGUGCCAUCAGUAGAUCCUCCCCUGACCUUGCAGAUGAAUAUCUUUAUGCUGACAUUGCAGGUGUGGGACUUAGAGAAGUCAGGUGAUUCGCCAAAGGUCUCCCUGCUUCUGAGUGGCAGGGCUGGGAACAGCAAGAGUCUGUCUGACCACGCAGGAAGGGGCCGGGUCACAGAGGAUGUGAGUGUGGUCCCCAGAGCGUGCAUCCAGGCCAGAGAGCACAGGACAUGCCGUGACCUCCCUGCGGAAGAGAUGAGUAAUAAAGCGCAACGGCUUGCCCAAGGCACCAUGGAAAAAGGCGUCCAUCAUCUUAAUGGAAAACAAAGUCCCGGGAACUUUCCAGUAAGUUCAGAGAGUUUCUGGCUCGGUGGAACUAAAGCUCACGGUUGUGGCAGAGGAGAACACAACAGGUUGAGAGCAGGUGAGAGCCAAUGUCUGGGGCAUCUGCUUUCGUCAUCCCGCGGCUAUGACCUGUGGUGUCUGGGACUAGGGCUCUUU